rnacentral:rRNA from 1 species
AGUGAACGCUGGCGGUAGGCCUAACACAUGCAAGUCGAACGGCAGCACAGUAAGAGCUUGCUCUUACGGGUGGCGAGUGGCGGACGGGUGAGGAAUACAUCGGAAUCUACUUUUUCGUGGGGGAUAACGUAGGGAAACUUACGCUAAUACCGCAUACGACCUACGGGUGAAAGCAGGGGAUCUUCGGACCUUGCGCGACUGAAUGAGCCGAUGUCGGAUUAGCUAGUUGGCGGGGUAAAGGCCCACCAAGGCGACGAUCCGUAGCUGGUCUGAGAGGAUGAGCAGCCACACUGGAACUGAGACACGGUCCAGACUCCUACGGGAGGCAGCAGUGGGGAAUAUUGGACAAUGGGCGCAAGCCUGAUCCAGCCAUACCGCGUGGGUGAAGAAGGCCUUCGGGUUGUAAAGCCCUUUUGUUGGGAAAGAAAAGCAGCAGGUUAAUACCCCGCUGUUCUGACGGUACCCAAAGAAUAAGCACCGGCUAACUUCGUG